AAAGAAACCAACAGGGAUUGCCUCAGUAACGGCGAGUGAAGCGGCAAGAGCUCAAAUUUGAAAUCUGGCUCCUUCGGGGUCCGAGUUGUAAUUUGUAGAGGAUGCUUCGGGUGCGGCCCCCGUCUAAGUGCUCUGGAACGGGCCAUCGGAGAGGGUGAGAAUCCCGUCUGGGACGGGGUGUCCGCGUCCAUGUGAAGCUCCUUCGACGAGUCGAGUUGUUUGGGAAUGCAGCUCUAAAUGGGUGGUAAAUUUCAUCUAAAGCUAAAUACUGGCCGGAGACCGAUAGCGCACAAGUAGAGUGAUCGAAAGAUGAAAAGCACUUUGAAAAGAGAGUUAAACAGCACGUGAAAUUGUUGAAAGGGAAGCGCUUGCGACCAGACUCGCUUCCGGGGUUCAGCCGGCUUUCGGGCCGGUGUACUUCCCCGGGGGCGGGCCAGCGUCGGUUUGGGCGGCCGGUCAAAGGCCCCUGGAAUGUAACGCCCCUCGGGGCGCCUUAUAGCCAGGGGUGUCAUGCGGCCAGCCUGGACCGAGGAACGCGCUUCGGCACGGACGCUGGCAUAAUGGUCGUAAACGAC
rnacentral:rRNA from 2 species